rnacentral:tRNA from 1 species
AGCGGGGUGGGGUAGCCAGGAUUAACCCGCUGGGCUCAUACUGCCUCGACCGGUUGUUCAAAUCAACCCCCCGCUA